AGGUGGUUAGUCCAAAAUAAGACCUUUGAUUUCGGCUUAAAAAACCGCGGUUUAAGUCCGCGACUACCUU
rnacentral:tRNA from 1 species